GGCCCCUACGGGAGGCAGCAGUAGGGAAUCUUCCACAAUGGACGAAAGUCUGAUGGAGCAACGCCGCGUGAGUGAAGAAGGGUUUCGGCUCGUAAAGCUCUGUUGGUAGUGAAGAAAGAUAGAGGUAGUAACUGGCCUUUAUUUGACGGUAAUUAAUUAGAAAGUCACGGCUAACUACGUGCCAGCAGCCGCGGUAAUGCGUAGGUGGCAAGCGUUGUCCGGAUUUAUUGGGCGUAAAGCGAGUGCAGGCGGGUCAAUAAGGCU
rnacentral:rRNA from 1 species